AUUACUCUCACUGUCUCACAUGUAUCAUUGUGUUUCAGCCAAAAGUAAGAAAAAAAGGGAAGGAGAGCUUGAGAAAAAUGCCUUGAUACAGCUGUGACUGAUUGGAAAUGCAGCACUCAAAGCCCAUUGGAGCCACACAACAGAAACUCUUCCUUUAACUCAUUUCUGUGAGCUGGGAGAAAAAGUGAGGUGUGGAAAUGAGAGUGUGUUCUGAAGAUGCAUGGAGGGAACUUGUGAAGGAUAUCUAACAAUUGGAGAAUGUGUGUGUGUGUGUGUGUUGGUUUGUGGGAUAUAUGUAUGUUCCAGUCUCCACAGGGGCUCUGGAAGUAAAUCAAAUCGGUGUGUGUGUGCAUCAGUGCAGACAGAUCUUGGUACCGAGGAUGUGAGUAGUUUUGAAAUGCAUGGCUUCUCCACGCCGGCCACCGGUCAUGUCUUAUUUCCGGAUGAAAGCGAAGAAACCCCCACCCCGCUGUUCUCGCCCUUCCCUUUAAAAGCUGGACGCUGAGGCUUCCCAUCAGAGCAAGGAGGCCCUGCUCCUCUUCAUCUGCGUAAGAGGGAGGGGGUCUCUCUUCUGUGUCCCCCCAUCAAGCUGCCCCCAGCCGGGCCUUUGUCCCGUUCCAGCAUCUUUUCUCCAGUGCUGUCGCUUCAAACAUCUCUCACGAUGCUUUGGAGGACUGUGAACUGUUUC
ensembl:lncRNA